GGUGUUGUGGCGGAGUGGUUAACGCGAUUGACUAGAAAUCAAUUUCCUUCGGGAGCACAUGUUCGAAUCAUGUCAACAUCG
rfam:Trichosporon asahii var. asahii CBS 8904 unplaced genomic scaffold scaffold00066, whole genome shotgun sequence.